GCUUUGGUCUGACUACUCUUCCUCAUCUGACGACGAAAGCCGUUACAAUUACUGUAUAAGAAACGGAGAGAGUGGACAGAUCCUGCGCUUGUGGGUAUCGGGAUAUAAUCAUGGACUUUCUGCAGAAGAUGUCAGUAAGUCUGUCCCCACAUGAGCCGUAAUGGAGUCUGAAGUUAUCAGCCAAGCAGAGCCAUGCAGCCACAAGGCUUCAGGACCCGGCCUGCCUCCAAGAGGAACCGCUGCUGGUCAAAGCAGAUUGUCAUCACUGUUAUCUUUAAACAACAUGCACAUUGGUUUUACUAACCAGGGGACAACAUCUCUUAUUCCCGUUCAAAA